GUGAUCUAAAUGACACAACGGGAUCUAAUUGACAGGGGAUCUAAAUAACCAUAGGGAACUAGUUGACACCAUCGUAGUUGGGGAUCUAAAUUACCCAUUUGGCGUUUAGAUCUCCCUUGAUCUACUAGAUACCCCUUCUGUGGCGGUAAUUUAAAAUAACAUUAUAAAAUAUUAUAUUAAACUUAUUUUAUACUAAAGUACUAAACGUAUUGUUUUUUUCUCUAAAGGCUAGUUCAGACUAUGCCAGUAAUUUAGUCGAGUGGUAAGUGACCUACUAACUACUAAACGGAAAAUUCUUUCCUGCGAAGAUCCAUCGUUUAUUUCCAACUGUUUUCAUCGGAAACCGAUGAAUAUACGUUGGACUGUUGGAGGCAGUGGCGUAUAUAGGGGGUGGACAUAGUGGGCUGCAGUCCACCCCAAAAUUACAGUCUUUUUAAAUAGAACAACAAUAUAUUUUAUUAGGUACUAUUAAAAGUUAUGAUAUUUCAUAGUCUGUUGAAAAAUAACAAAUACGAAUAUAUUUAUAGAAACUUUUAAAUCUAUAGUAGACAGUAGCUUCUAAGUAGUAUAUCACUUGCUAGUUUCUAUCUAUUAUAGCCCACCCCAACAAAUAUUUCUAUAUACGCCACUGGUUGGAGGUAACAAUUUAUAACCUUACCUCCAAAUAACAACCGUUAUCUCUUAUGCACAACCUAUCACUAAUUUAUUUCAAUUUAUUUAUAGGCUAUAUAUUAUAUUAUAUCAUGACGAAGUGUCGAAGUAAGUUUGGUCAUAUUCAUGAUUUCAUGAAACAUUAGUUUCGACAAAUUAUAAUGGUCUCAUUGACCACGACUGUAGACUACUCUCUUAUGAUGAUAUUGACUAUGUUCGCAAAAUGUCAAGUCAGUCUGGGUGUUCUUAUUGGUCCUAUAUUGGAUUAUAUAAACAAACUACAUUUUAAAAACAGAACCUAAUUAUUUUUUUCUUAUUAUUUUAAUACAAUUUUAAAUUGAUUGAGGUACGAAAAAUGUUCUUUAACGGGAACUAGGAAGAAGAAACAAUUUAAGUAGUUCCUUUUUAACAAAACGUGAACUUUCAAACCUUCAACGUGCUGGUCUCAUCUGUCCAUAAGAAAUAAAAUGGUGACAAUGCGACAUGUAAGUAGCUCUACAAAGUGGACAGCGGUAAUAUGGCCUAUGCUCAUUCGGAGGCAUCCUUGAAUAACUUUCAUGACAAGCUCCACAUAGGCCUUGGUGUAGGCAUGGAUACGCUACCACUGUUGGUGGACUGUACAAACAUAUGUAACACGUUUCCUCUUCUAUUGAUAAUUACUACUUACUUGUCAAAUCUGCACGUUCAAUGUAAAUAACUGAUGGACUGUUCGCAGACUGUUCGGUAGACACAUCUUCAUCUGAAUAAUCUGCAUCGGCAUCAAGAUUAUAAAAAACUAAAGACAAGUGAUUUAUUUAUUAGUAUAUUUUAUUGGAAAUCUGUAUCAGUAAUAUUAUAAUGAAAAAUCAUACGAUCUCGAGGAACGUGCACUGCUGGUCUACGUGUAAAGCAUUAGCAGGGAGCACAGGAAUAGCUUGAGGUUGUAUGUCCUGCUGAUCAACGGGGAGUGGUAAUGGAGCUUGUGGAAAGACAGCAGCAGGUACUACAAUAGCUUGGUG